rnacentral:rRNA from 1 species
AGCGAACGUUAGCGGCGGGCUUAACACAUGCAAGUCGCACGAGAACGAGGGGGCAACCUCCUCUAGUAAAGUGGCGCGACGGGGUGCGUAACACGUAGGUGGAACUACCCUCCGAUGGGGGACAACCGGCCGAAAGGCUGGCUAAUACCGCGGUACGUCAACGGGGCAUUCGAGCCCUGUUGGGAAAGCGGCCCUCUUCACGAAAGGUCGCGUCGGAGGUUGUGCCUGCGGCCCAUCAGCUAGUUGGUGAGGAAUGGCUCACCAAGGCUAAGACGGGUAGCUGGUCUGAGAGGAUGAUCAGCCACACUGGAACUGAGACACGGUCCAGACUCCUACGGGAGGCAGCAGUGGGGAAUAUUGGACAAUGGGCGCAAGCCUGAUCC